GUCUUUUUGAAUAUAAUUUAAAGUCUGACCUGCCCAAUGAUUAAUUUAAUGGCCGCAGUAUUUUGACUGUGCAAAGGUAGCAUAAUCAUUAGUUUUUUAAAUGAAAGCUGGAAUGAACGGUCUGAUAAAAAAAUAACUGUCUCAAUUUUAAUAAUUUUGAAUUUUAUUUUUAAGUUAAAAAGCUUAAAUUUUGUUAAAAGACGAGAAGACCCUAUAGAGUUUUAUAAAUUAAUUUAUUUUUAAAUAUAAGGAUUUUAAUUUAAAGAUUUUCUAAUUUAUUUAGUUGGGGUGACUACAAAAUUAAUAUAACUUUUGUUUUAUUCUUACAUAGAUUUAUGAUUUUUUGAUCCAAUUUUAUUGAUUAUAAGAUUAAAUUACCUUAGGGAUAACAGCGUAAUUUUUUUUAGAGUUCUUAUCGAAAAAAAAGAUUGCGACCUCGAUGUUGGAUUAAAAUUAAGAACUGGUGUAGAGGCUAGUUUAUUAGGUCUGUUCGACCUUUAAAAUUUUACA
rnacentral:rRNA from 1 species